AGUCUAUAAUGAGGGUACUAUCUUAGAAGUCCUUUAAAUUUGUCCCAAACUUCAUAUAAAGAUUCUCCAUUUUUUUACAUAAACAAUAAAAUUUCUCAGAUGAGAAG